rnacentral:rRNA from 1 species
GCUUGUCUCAAAGAUUAAGCCAUGCAAGUCUAAGUUUAAGCACAUAAACGGCGAAACUGCGAAUGGCUCAUUAAAUCAGUUAUCGUAUAUUUGAUAGUACCUACUACAUGGAUAACCGUGGUAAUUCUAGAGCUAAUACAUGCUUAAAAUCCCGACUUCGGAAGGGAUGUAUUUAUUAGAUUAAAAACCAAUGCCCUUCGGGGCUCACUGGUGAUUCAUAAUAACUUCUCGAAUCGCAUGGCCUUGCGCCGGCGAUGGUUCAUUCAAAUUUCUGCCCUAUCAACUUUCGACGGCUGGGUCUUGGCCAGCCGUGGUUACAACGGGUAACGGAGGGUUAGGGCUUGACCCCGGAGAAGGAGCCUGAGAAACGGCUACUACAUCCAAGGAAGGCAGCAGG